UAAUUCCCAUUUAUAUUCCCUUGUGGAACUGCCCCUCACGACCAAGCAACCACCACCCACUCUCACCAUUUCAAACACAACACCAUCCCUCUUCCGUUCUCCAUUCUCCACCGAAGGAGUACUCCACAGCAAAGCACCGAAGAAGUUAGAUCACAGGGAGAGCAUCCGGUCAUGAGCGCACACCAGGGGAAGGGAAGGCCAGGCCACGGCAAGAAGGAAGGGCUGCAGUUUUCAUCUAAUCGUACACCAGCCAUCCAGUUCUCUUCUCUUUGAUCUACUUCUGUUCAUCGAAUUGGAGGAGAGGGCGAGUUUGGCUACAGUUCAGCAGGCGUAGGAGAACACAUCCAAGUUGAAGGAGCAGCAGGUUUCGACAGUGAGUACGACAAGGAGUACUAGUGACGGUGUUUUGGACUUACGUCGACUUUUGCUUGUGGAGUUGGCGCCACACCAUGCUAUUUAUUUUUAUUUCCGAUCUGUGAACUCUAUUAUGUCAUUUGUGUUUUUUACCAUAUGUUCAGGAUGAUGUAAUAAGUCACUUUUAUUUAUAAUGCCACGUGUAUUUGAUUAA